AAGAAAGAUGAGACUGAAGAUAAGCAAGUGAACAAGAAAGAAAAGAUAGAAUGGAGACGAGAGAUUUGUGCAUAUUCAGUUGGCAAAUGUAUCAAGGUUACUGGUGGAGGAGAAAAUCGUAAAUGUUACUAUGAGACAUUCCAGUUUCGUGGCACCCAAUAUAGUCUGGAGGACACAGUGCUUUUGGCUCCGUAUGAGUCAAAGAAAACCAACUAUAUCGCAUUGAUCAAGGAUAUUUAUGUUAAGAAAAAAGAUGGAUUUGUGAAGAUCUUGGUGCAAUGGUUUUAUCGCCGAGAAGAUAUUAAAAUAAAACAUGCUGGAAAGUGCAAAUCUGGAGACUCGAAGGAAGUUUUCUUCAGUUUUCAUAAGGAUGAGCUAUUUGCUGAAUCUGUGAGAAGCAAAUGUCUUGUGUAUUUCUUGCCAGAUGAUAAGCAAACUUCAAACCGUACUCAGCCUCCUGACU